GGCAAGCCCAGGGGGAAGGUUGGAGCUGCCGGGCAGAGCAGGGGCAGCUUGUUGCCCCCAGAGGGUGGUGCUGCCUCACCUCCCCUUAGGCCCCGCUGGACCCUUCCCUCCCCCCGCCGCCCCCACUGGGAGCCUGGCAAGCUGGAUUGUGUGUCCUUUCCCUCUCAGGUGACCUGGAACCCCUUGACCAUCCCCCAAGACAUGAAAGGCAGCAGCAGCCGCCAGGGGCACAGGGCUGUCCUCGGUGCCUCCUGCUACAGAGAGAAAUCGACGACCUGAAGGAGCAGCUUGCCGCCAUGCGGUACCUGGCUGACAUGUUCCAGACCCUUUGAAGUUGAGCCCUGCAUCUUCAUGCAAGAGGAGCGGCUGGUGCCUUUGGGGCCCGGGAGGUGCUGUGGCCAAGCUCGGUCCCUCUUGUUCUGCCUCAGCCAGAGCUUCCUCUCCCUCUUGUUUUGCCCCUCCCCUGCCUCAGUGUCAUGGCAGUUUC